ensembl:lincRNA
UGUGUGUGCAUGGUGUGGAGAAGACAGUGCACAGGUGCCUGCAAUAGGACCCGGGAACGCGCGUGACCAAAGGCCUGGGAUGAAGACAGAGACUGCAGACAAGCCCAGCUUCUGCGCAUGCGUGAGAGGCAGGGGUGCGGUAACAGGGCAGAGAGAGGCCUGAAGAGUGAAGGGGAGCGCCGCGGGUCUGGCCAUGUCCAGGAAGCAGGCAUGGUGGGAGCGGGAUGGAGUGGUGGAGCCGAGAGAGCUGAGCACGCAGGAGGAAGGCGACAUGCAGUCCACAGGGUGCCGGAAGAUGACAGUAGCUCCACGGGGACAACCAAGGCAGAACAGGCACACUCAGGCUCUGGAGGUAGACUGCCUGGACUGAUCUCCCCUCUACCAAACACCAGUUAAGUAACCUUGCACAGGAAGCCCGGCCUCCCUGGGCCUUGGUGGUUGCAUCUGUAAGGUGGGGGUAGCAAUGAUUCCAACUUCCUAGGGGUACUGCGUAAGGAAGGCGAGGUGCCAGCUUCAAUGGAGAUGACUAAUGCUCUGCUUCCAUUCUACACUGUCUGCUGCCUUUGGGGGAGGAAUGGGAGAGAGAGAAUUAAACAUACUGUGCUUCUUAUUGUUCUCUCUGCUAUGGCUUCAUCCCAUUUUUCAGAAAUAGCUCAAAGCAGAAUUUGUCCAUGAACCUUUCUUAGCAGAGGGGCCCAGUCCCUAGCUCCUACCACAGUACCCGAGACAUAGCAGGUGCUUGAUAAGUAUUUGAUGAAUGACUGAGUGAUUACAUUUUUAUGCCUCCAGGACCUUUGUAAGGACAAGUAUUUGUGUUGCCGUUGUUUUCAUUUACAGAUGAAGGACUGGAGCUUCAGCAAGUUAAGUGAAACACGCAGCCUGUAAGCAGAACAGCCACUCAGACGCCAAGCCCCAUGUUCCUUCCUCCACACACGCUACUCCCUGGACUCCUAUACAUCAUGUCCUACUUUCCAUGGAUUUUUCUCCUUGCCAGUGGGGCCAUCCCUGCUUGUGGAAUCAUCUCCGAAUUCUAUGACUCAUCUCUGAAUCACAGAACUGUUUCAGAGUUGAAAGGGACUUUUGAUGUCAUCUAGACCUCCCACCCACUGUGGAAAUUUCCUCUCCAGUACCUAUCUUCCCAAUUCUUGAAUGCCUCCAGCGAUGAAACACUCAUUUUCUUCCUCUGGAAUCAUUAAGUUCUAUGACUGGACUGCUUUUACGGUCAGAAAGUUGCACAUCCUGUGGGCUAACGGGCCUCUUUCAUGUCUAGGUCCUGAGCUCGUCAUCUGCCUAAGAUACGAACAGUAGAUCUGCCCCCCUCACACAGCAGCCUUUCAGAUGUCCAGACAGCUCUCACAGCCCUCUGAGAAUUCUUCUCUUCCAGCCAGCUGUUUCCGGUCUCUAUGAUAAUGACUCUGGUGGACGUGUUCCUCCUACAGCUGGACAGGCUGUCCAAGUCAGCUGUGGUGCCCCUACUGGGAGAUGAGGGAACUGCACCAAGGGAUCCACUCCUGCUGUCUGAGGUGUUUUAUCAGAAAGGUACGCUGACACUAGUGUGAAUAAAUAACUUCUUAUUGUGAAGUGUCACCCACUUAGAGCUUGUUUCCAACGUCUAUCUAAAAGAAUGGUUGGAGACCAUUGUGGACUAUCAUAUGGUUUACCAAUCACGAAGAUCUGACAAGCGAUAGGUUUGGGCCAAAAGGCUAUUGUUUAACCAACUAUUUGGGAG